rnacentral:tRNA from 1 species
GAGAAUAUAACUCAGUGGUAGAGUAGUUGACUUUUAAUCAAUGUGUCACAGGUUCGAAUCCUGUUAUUCUCC